rnacentral:rRNA from 1 species
AACGAACGCUGGCGGCAUGCCUAACACAUGCAAGUCGAACGAGACCUUCGGGUCUAGUGGCGCACGGGUGCGUAACGCGUGGGAACCUGCCCUUAGGUUCGGAAUAACUCCCGGAAAGGGGUCCUAAUACCGGUUAAUGUCUUCGGCCCAAAGAUUUAUCGCCUUUGGAUGGGCCCGCGUUGGAUUAGCUAGUUGGUAGGGUAAAAGCCUACCAAGGCGACGAUCCAUAGCUGGUCUGAGAGGAUGAUCAGCCACACUGGGACUGAGACACGGCCCAGACUCCUACGGGAGGCAGCAGUGGGGAAUAUUGGACAAUGGGCGAAAGCCUGAUCCAGCAAUGCCGCGUGAGUGAUGAAGGCCUUAGGGUUGUAAAGCUCUUUUACCCGGGAUGAUAAUGACAGUACCGGGAGAAUAAGCUCCGGCUAACUCCGUG